AGUGAACGCUGGCGGUAGGCCUAACACAUGCAAGUCGAACGGCAGCACAGGAGAGCUUGCUCUCUGGGUGGCGAGUGGCGGACGGGUGAGGAAUACAUCGGAAUCUACUCUGUCGUGGGGGAUAACGUAGGGAAACUUACGCUAAUACCGCAUACGACCUGCGGGUGAAAGCAGGGGACCUUCGGGCCUUGCGCGAUUGAAUGAGCCGAUGUCGGAUUAGCUAGUUGGCGGGGUAAAGGCCCACCAAGGCGACGAUCCGUAGCUGGUCUGAGAGGAUGAUCAGCCACACUGGAACUGAGACACGGUCCAGACUCCUACGGGAGGCAGCAGUGGGGAAUAUUGGACAAUGGGCGCAAGCCUGAUCCAGCCAUACCGCGUGGGUGAAGAAGGCCUUCGGGUUGUAAAGCCCUUUUGUUGGGAAGGAAAUCCAGCUGGCUAAUACCCGGUUGGGAUGACGGUACCCAAAGAAUAAGCACCGGCUAACUUCUUGCCAGCCGCCGCAGUAA
rnacentral:rRNA from 1 species